AAAAGGUACGCCGGGGAUAACAGGCUGAUACUGCCCAAGAGUCCAUAUCGACGGCAGUGUUUGGCACCUCGAUGUCGGCUCAUCUCAUCCUGGGGCUGGAGCAGGUCCCAAGGGUACGGCUGUUCGCCGUUUAAAGAGGUACGUGAGCUGGGUUUAGAACGUCGUGAGACAGUUCGGUCCCUAUCUGCCGUGGGUGUAGGAUACUUGAGAGGAGUUGCCCCUAGUACGAGAGGACCGGGGUGAACGAUCCACUGGUGGAUCUGUUGUGGCGCCAGCCGCAGUGCAGAGUAGCUAUGAUCGGACAGGAUAACCGCUGAAGGCAUCUAAGCGGGAAGCCCCCCUCAAAACAAGGUAUCCCUGAGGGCCGUGGUAGACCACCACGUCGA
rnacentral:rRNA from 1 species